GAUGAACGCUGGCGGCGUGCCUAAUACAUGCAAGUCGAGCGAACAGACGAGGAGCUUGCUCCUCUGACGUUAGCGGCGGACGGGUGAGUAACACGUGGAUAACCUACCUAUAAGACUGGGAUAACUUCGGGAAACCGGAGCUAAUACCGGAUAAUAUAUUGAACCGCAUGGUUCAAUAGUGAAAGACGCUUUUGCUGUCCCUUAUAGAUGGAUCCGCGCCGCAUUAGCUAGUUGGUAAGGUAACGGCUUACCAAGGCGACGAUGCAUAGCCGACCUGAGAGGCAAAUCGGCCACACUGGAACUGAGAGACGUUCCAAACUCCUACGGGAGGCAGCAGUAGAGAAUCUUCCGCAGUGGGCGAAAGCCUGACGCAACCACGCCGCGUGGGUUGUGAAAGUCUUCUGAUCGUAAAACUAUUUGAUUAGGGAAGAAGAAAUGUGUAAGUAAAUGUGCACGUCUUGACGGUACCUAAUCAGAAAGACACGGCUAACUUCGUG
rnacentral:rRNA from 1 species